rnacentral:rRNA from 1 species
GAUGAACGCUGGCGGCGUGCCUAAUACAUGCAAGUCGAGCGAACAGACGAGGAGCUUGCUCCUCUGACGUUAGCGGCGGACGUGUGAGUAACACGUGUAUAACCUACCUAUAAGACUGGUAUAACUUCGGGAAACCGGCUCUAAUACCGUAUAAGAUAUUGAACCGCGUUGUUCGAUAGUGAAAGACGGUUUUGCUGGCACUUAUCGCGGGUUCCGCGCCGCAUUAGAUAGUUGGUAAGGUAACGGCUUACCAAGGCAACGAUGCGUAGCCGACCGGAGAGGGUGGUAGGCCACACGGGAACUGAACCACGGUCAUGACUCCUACGGGAGGCAGCAGAAGGGAAUCUGACGCAAUGGGCGAAAGCAUGACGGAGCGACGCCGCGUGAGUGAUGAAGGUCUUCGGAUCGUAAUACUCUGUUAUUAGGGAAAAACAAAUGUGUAAGUAACUAUGCACGUAUUGACGGUACCUAAUCAGAAAGCAACGGCUAACUACGUG